AUGGCUGCCCAGCUCCUCCUCCUCCUCCUUCUAGCGCUCGUCAACGUGGCGCCACCACGGCGCCACGCCGGCGUGUCCGCUGAAGACGUCAUCCAGCAGGUGACGGACGGCGGCCACGGCGCUGGACGUCCCGGUCUGCUCCCGGAGGCGCAGUUCGCGGCGUUCGUGCGGCGGCACGGCAAGGAGUACUCGGGCCCCGAAGAGUACGCGUGCCGGCUGCGCGUGUUCGCGGCCAACGUGGCCCGCGCAGCCGCCCACAAGGCGCUCGACCCGGGCGCGCGCCACGGCGUCACGCCCUUCUCCGACCUCACCCAGGAGGAGUUCGAGGCGCGCCUCACCGGCCUCGCCGGCGCCGGCGACGUCCUGCGCAGCGUGCGGGCGAUGCCGGCUGCGGCGCCGGCCACGGAGAAGGAGGUCGCCGCGCUGCCCGCCAGCUUCGACUGGCGCGACAAGGGCGCCGUCACCGAUGUCAAGAUGCAGGGCGUGUGCGGCUCGUGCUGGGCGUUCAGCACGACCGGCGCCGUGGAGGGCGCCAACUUCGUCGCCACGGGGAAGCUCCUCAACCUCAGCGAGCAGCAGCUGGUCGACUGCGACCACACGUGCGACGCGGUGGCGAAGACCGAGUGCAACAGCGGCUGCUCCGGCGGGCUGAUGACGAACGCGUACAAGUACCUGAUGGGCUCCGGCGGGCUGAUGGAGCAGGCGGCGUACCCCUACACGGGGGCGCAGGGGCCGUGCCGGUUCGACAGGAGCAAGGUGGCCGUCCGCGUGGCCAACUUCACCGCCGUGCCGCUCGACGAGGACCAGAUGCGGGCGGCGAUCGUCCGCGGCGGGCCCCUGGCGGUGGGCCUGAACGCGGCGUUCAUGCAGACGUACGUGGGCGGCGUGUCCUGCCCGCUCAUCUGCCCGCGGGCGCUGGUGAACCACGGCGUGCUCCUCGUCGGCUACGGCGCGCGCGGCUUCUCGGCGCUGCGGCUCGGCUACCGGCCCUACUGGCUCAUCAAGAACUCGUGGGGGGAGCAGUGGGGGGAGGGCGGGUACUACAAGCUCUGCCGCGGCCGCAACGUCUGCGGCGUCGACAGCAUGGUCUCCGCCGUCGCCGUCGCGCCGUGA
rnacentral:rRNA from 1 species